CAGUAGCCGCGGUAAUACGUAGGGUGCGAGCGUUAAUCGGAAUUACUGGGCGUAAAGCGUGCGCAGGCGGUUCGUUAAGACAGAUGUGAAAUCCCCGGGCUUAACCUGGGAACUGCAUUUGUGACUGGCGAGCUAGAGUAUGGCAGAGGGGGGUAGAAUUCCACGUGUAGCAGUGAAAUGCGUAGAGAUGUGGAGGAAUACCGAUGGCGAAGGCAGCCCCCUGGGCCAAUACUGACGCUCAUGCACGAAAGCGUGGGGAGCAAACAGGAUUAGAUACCCCGGUAGUCCCUGUCUCUUAUAC
rnacentral:rRNA from 1 species